AUCACCUAGGGAUCCUAUUAAAAUGCAGAUUCUGAUUCCGUGGGUCUGGGAUGGGGCCUGAGGUUUUGCAUUUCUAGCAAGUUCCCAGGUGAUGAUGG
rnacentral:pre_miRNA from 1 species